AUUGAACGCUGGCGGCAGGCCUAACACAUGCAAGUCGAGCGGGGUUUUCGGACCUAGCGGCGGACGGGUGAGUAAUGCGUAGGAAGCUACCCGAUAGAGGGGGAUACCAGUUGGAAACGACUGUUAAUACCGCAUAAUGUCUACGGACCAAAGUGUGGGACCUUCGGGCCACAUGCUAUCGGAUGCGCCUACGUGGGAUUAGCUAGUUGGUGAGGUAAUGGCUCACCAAGGCGACGAUCUCUAGCUGGUUUGAGAGGAUGAUCAGCCACACUGGAACUGAGACACGGUCCAGACUCCUACGGGAGGCAGCAGUGGGGAAUAUUGGACAAUGGGCGCAAGCCUGAUCCAGCCAUGCCGCGUGUGUGAAGAAGGCCUUCGGGUUGUAAAGCACUUUCAGCGAGGAGGAAGGGUUGUGUGUUAAUAGUACACACCUUUGACGUUACUCGCAGAAGAAGCACCGGCUAACUCUGUGCCAGCAGCCGCGGUAAAAC
rnacentral:rRNA from 1 species